GGAAUAUUGGUCAAUGGCCGAGAGGCUGAACCAGCCAUGCCGCGUGCAGGAAUGAGGCCCUAUGGGUCGUAAACUGCUUUUGCGGUGGAGCAAUAAGGGCUACGUGUAGUCCGAUGAGAGUACAUCGCGAAUAAGCAUCGGCUAACUCCGUGCCAGCAGCCGCGGUAAUACGGAGGAUGCGAGCGUUAUCCGGAUUUAUUGGGUUUAAAGGGUGCGUAGGCGGUUGUGCAAGUCAGCGGUGAAACCCCCGGGCUCAACCCGGGACCUGCCGUUGAUACUGCAUGGCUGGAAUACUGUUGCCGUGGGAGGAAUGAGUAGUGUAGCGGUGAAAUGCAUAGAUAUUACUCAGAACACCGAUUGCGAAGGCAUCUCACGAAGCAGUGAUUGACGCUGAGGCACGAAAGCGUGGGGAUCAAACA
rnacentral:rRNA from 1 species